rnacentral:rRNA from 1 species
UACGGAGGGUGCAAACGUUGCUCGGAAUCAUUGGGCGUAAAGCGCACGUAGGCGGCUCGUUAAGUCGGGUGUGAAAGCCCUCGGCUCAACCGAGGAAGUGCAUUCGAAACUGGCGAGCUUGAAUAUGGAAGAGGGUCGCGGAAUUCCCGGUGUAGAGGUGAAAUUCGUAGAUAUCGGGAGGAACACCAGUGGCGAAGGCGAUCAUCUGGGGUUGUUCUGACACUGAGGAGCGAAAGCUAGGGGAGCAAACGGGG